GCCUGGGUGGCUCAGUCGGUUAAGCGUCUGACUUCAGCUCAGGUCAUGAUCUCACGGUUCGUGGGUUCGAACUCCACGUCGGGCU
rnacentral:tRNA from 1 species